rnacentral:rRNA from 1 species
GAUGAACGCUGGCGGCGUGCCUAAUACAUGCAAGUCGAGCGAACGGACGCGAAGCUUGCUUCUCUGAUGUUAGCGGCGGACGGGUGAGUAACACGUGGAUAACCUACCUAUAAGACUGGGAUAACUUCGGGAAACCGGAGCUAAUACCGGAUAAUAUUUUGAACCGCAUGGUUCAAAAGUGACAGACGGUCUUUCUGUCACUUAUAGAUGGAUCCGCGCUGCAUUAGCUAGUUGGCAAGGUAACGGCUUACCAAGGCAACGAUGCAUAGCCGACCUGAGAGGGUGAUCGGCCACACUGGAACUGAGACACGGUCCAGACUCCUACGGGAGGCAGCAGUAGGGAAUCUUCCGCAAUGGGCGAAAGCCUGACGGAGCAACGACGCGUGAGUGAUGAAGGUCUUCGGAUCGUAAAACUCUGUUAUUAGGGAAGAACAUAUGUGUAAGUAACUGUGCACAUCUUGACGGUACCUAAUCAGAAAGCCACGGCUAACUACGUG